rnacentral:lncRNA from 1 species
GCCCUUGAAUGGUGAUCUUUGAACCUUUGAAAUGAUGCCCCAAGUUGCGAGCAUCCAUCAAUUUUCAAAGUGAGCAGUUUUGGAAGCAGUAAGAAGCUACUCGAUAGAUCUUUGACCCCUUUACAUUGUGACAUGUCUAUAUAUUGAAGCCCCGUAAGGUUACCAAUAGACUUUGGAAANNNNNNNNNNNNNNNNNNNNNNCCUUACCAGUUUACGACAUUUAUCAAGUGUAAACAUUCUUAAGUUUUUAGCUCCAGACAGAUCAGGAAUUUGAGUUAUGGAUUGACUAUGCGAGAGAUUGAUGAAUGUUAAAUCCUCAAAAAUCUGCAAAAUAAACUAUAGUUUAAAUGACAGGAGCAUAGUCAAAUUUGAUUGUUACCACAUAUUAAAAUAAAUACAUAAAUUUGAAGCAACUGCAUAUACCUGGAACGGCUUUUUCAAUAACAUAGAGCAAUGAGGUAACUUGAAGUCAACAAUUCUAUAUGGAUAAAAAUCUGGUGGGAAAUUCUUUGAUGGGAAGCACUUCCAAUCGAGUAGACGCAAACUAUUUGGAAGAUAAGUAGGUCCUGAUAAAAAUAAUGUAUUCCUAACAAUCAAAAUUCUGAGGUUUUUCAUCUUCUCAAAGGCAGUAUGAGCCCACUGAUCUACUUUUUCUUGUUUUGGGGGAUGAAGCUUUAUUCCUUCAACUGUAGAACUUCCCUAUAGAAGAUGAAAAAUAUAGAAUUGAGACUAAACAUAUUUGCAAAGUUCAAAAACAGUUAUCGUAUGAAAAAAAAAUGAUUCAUACCAUGUUUCCUUUUAGUACAUCAAGAACAUCUUUAUGAGACCAUAAUCGGCUGCGUUCACCAGGGUUUGAUGCUGAUUCCUUUCGAACAAUCUCUCUACCCAUGUCUUGUAUUAGAUCAUGCAUUUCUAAACAACCAUUUUCAUCAACAGUUAUGAGACAUUUGCUAACAAAUACUCGUAUAAUUGGGUAGAAAUCACAAGCAUCUAGUACCCUUUUAACAUAAUCCCAUCUUUCCCCUUUGAAAAAGCAAGCCAUGUCAAGAAAAACUUUUUGGUCCAAGUCAGAUAGGCUUUUGUAGCUUAUUUCCAGUACACCUUGAAUCUCAACAUCUGGAACCUUUUUAUAUUUCUGCAGUUCAAUAACCCACUCCUCUAUGCUCUUACCUUUCAAAUUUGAUCCUAUUACUUUUAAAGCCAAUGGUAUACCCUUUGCAUAAUUUAUUGCACGAGAAGAGAUAUUUCCAAAGUUUUCUGCAGGUUUGCUCAUAUUAAAGGCAUACCUACAAAAGAGUUCAAUGGAUUCAUGAUAAUUUAACUCUUCGAGUUUAUAUGUUUUCACAUCAUGCUUAUGUAGAACAUCUGCAUCUCUUGUUGUUAUGAUGAUUCUGCUACCAGAACCAAACCAAUCAUGUCCUCCAGCUAAUGUUUCCAAUUGUUUUACUGAAUCAACAUCAUCUAGUACCAGAAGAACUCUUUUGUGGGAUAGUCUGCGUUUUAUUUCCGAGCAUCCUCUAAAUGUGCUUCCCAUCAUGGUUUGUGUCUCCACACCCAUUUCAGACAGAAGUGUCCUUUGGAGAUCUCCCAGGCCACUAGUGCUUGCAUUUGAUUUUUCUCUUACAUUAGCAAGAAAACUUCCAGCUUCAAAUCGAUGUCUGAUCUUGUUAUAUAUAUCCAUGGCAAAUGUGGUUUUGCCUAUUCCACCACCUCCACAAAUUCCCAACAUGCAAACAGAAUCAUCAGAAUUGAAAUCAAUGAGAGACUUCACUUGUUCGAAACGAGAAUCAAGUCCAACUAAGUGUUUGAUUUGUAAAGGCAUGGGAGGUAGUUUAGCUGAGAUGUCUCUGACAAUCUUAUCAAUAAACUCUGAUUCAUAGCUGCAUAGAAAUACAAUAUGAAGAAUGAGAAAUUAAAAGAGAGUGGGGGGAAAAAUUUUACUGUGUAAUAGAUUGCUCAGCUAAAACAAAAAAGAAUAUGCCACAAGUGCUUCCACUGUCCACAGUGCAAUAGAUUGCUGACAUGGCAUGUGAACCAGUGUCCACGCAUGCAUGGUCUUGGUCAAAACUUGUGGGGGGUCAACCUUUUGCAAAAAGGGCUCAAGUUAGGAGGCCAUAAAUGCUAUUAUGAAAGUUAGGAGGACAAAAUCGCAAAUUUAUGAAAGUUAAAGGCCAAAAGUACAAUUUAACCAAUCUUGUAAUACUAAAAAAUCCACCAAACAUAAUAAAUGCAAUUUAACAUAUCAAAAAUGUUAAAUACAACUAAAUUUCAACUAAAUACACACUCCCUCUGAUCUUAAAUAUAAACAAAAGUCAAAACGUAUUUGGCUUAAAUUUAAACUAAAUACGUUUUGACCGAGUAUUAAUUUACAAAUUUGAUGCAAGGCUUGAAAUGGCCUAGUGGUUAGGAUUGUGAAUAGGACAUGCAUGUAUUGAGUUCAAGAGUAAUGCUAUGGUCAAAACUAAUCGACCAGAUCUUUAUUCAUGCUUUAUUUAACGGUCAAAUUUAGUAAUUAAUUAUUAAUAUUAAUAUUUUUUUGGUCAAGUAGCCUAAGGUGGCAUGAAAUUUCAUUUUAAGGUGAAUAAGUGGAGUAUCCGAAUUUAAACACAACUCAUGCAUCAACGGAGCUAAGUUUACGGAGAGGGGAGACUAUCUCUAUUCAUGUUAAAUAAUAAUAUUAAAAUUUAAAAUUAAAUAAUAAAGAAGCAUUUGGGAAACUUACAUAUCAUCUUUGUAAUGAAUUCCACUAAGAGCACAAACUCUAUUCAAAGCCAAUCUCCAUGCUUUAACCUUCUUCGAUUCACUUCCAAAUCUGUUCUCAUGUUCAACCAUAGCAAUUUCAUAACUAUUUCUCUGAUGUCUAACAUCUGAAGGUUCAACCUUAUAAAAUAUAACAAAAACCGAUUUUCCAUUCUUUUCAUAACAGUCAACAAUCUUAACAAGUUCAUCAAGGCACCAACUAGAAGAAGCGUAGUCUUUACAGAGAACAACAAUUGAGAUUCUAGAAGCUUCGAUUGCUUGUAGAAGUGAAGGACCGAUUUCGUCUCCGAUUUUGAGGUUNNNNNNCUGAAAACGUUGAUUCCGUGUCGGAGAAGAGAACGGAAGAGAUGAUCGGUGAAGGAGUAGCGUGUUCCGCCUCUGAAACUUAGAAAAACGUCGUGUGCGAAUUCAUUGUGAUUCGCCAUUGAUGAUUAUGAUGAUGAUAAUGAUAAUGAUAAUGAUAAUGAUAAUGAUAAUGGAGUUGAGUUUGUGGUUUGUGUGUGAGUGUGAUUGUAAAAUCGUUGAGUUUUAAAUGAAGCUUGGAGCUAUAUUAAAAAAAUAAUAAAAAAAAAAAAGCUUGGAGCUUCAAAAGUCAAGAGAACGCGGGAUUGGAUGACCAUGGACUUCCUUUUCUUUAUUUUCGAUCAUUGACUUUUAAAAUGGCGUAUAAUAAACUAUGAACUCAAUCUCCGAUUAAGAUAUUUGUCUCUCACUCACUGUAAAUAUUUUUAAAAGAAUCUUUGUUAAAUUUAACUCAUAUUAAUGCUUCAAAGUAUAUUUAUUAAGGACUAACUUUGAUCGAGAUGAGACAUGAAUCACUUGAUACUACAACUGACUCCCAAAAUAAAUUAAGCUGUUGGUGAAAACAAAAAAUAUAAAGAAUAAAUAAACUAAAAUAUUCAACUCAAGUGGAUAAUAAAUUUUCUCUAGAACGAAUUAUUCGAAAAAAUUUGAAUUCGAUAUUUGAUGAAAACAAUUUUUGACUAGGUUUUCUAAUCUCGCAACUGAACUCUGAACCAUUGUGGCCCCUUUCCCCGGAACAAGAGGGCUUACGCCAAAAAAAAACAAACUGAGAAUAAGUAAAUAAACUUAAUUAAGAAACAAAGUAUAGCACAACUUGAAACAAUAUUUGGUCUCAAGUGGUUAAAGAACUUUACUAAAAAAACGAAUCGUUCGGAAGAAUCCAAGUUCGAUUCAUAGAUUAAUUUCUUGUUCAGACUUUACUUACUUUGUGACUGAACUCCAAAUUACUAUGGUCAUUUUCCCUUAGAAUUGGUGGGUUAACGCAAAAAAAAAAAAAGUAUAUAUAGUAAAUUAUAAAAUAUAGAAACUUAAUUGAUAGUAACUAUUUAAAUUUAAGAAUCAACUUGACAUUUUAAUAGAACUAGUAUAAUAUAUGCACGGGUCGCAGCGUUGCCGCGAUUAUUAAUGUUAUUACAUUAUUUAAUUUUAAUUUAUAAUGUAAAUUAUAAUAGGUCGAAUAUUGUAUAGUGCGAAAAUAGUCCCGUUAAAAAUUUACUCGUCACUGCAAAAUUGUUGUCAUGUGUAUGAUAGUUAUAGUUGUAAUAUUUAUCAGUAAGAACUUGUUCAUAUAUAAAAAUAUAGUUCCACGUAUAAAUUAUAAAAAAAAAAAUAGGCACGCAUAUUAAUAUAUGAGUAGAAAUAUAGGUCCCCAUAAAAAUUAUACAAAAAAAAAGGACACGAGUAUUAAUAUAUGAGUAGAAAUAUAAGUCCCCUAUAGAAAUUAUCAAAAAAAAAAUGGCAUUUGUAUUUAUAUAUAAGUAAAAAUAUAGGUCACCGUAAAAAUUAUAAAUAAAAUAAAAUAAGCAUGUGCAUCAAUAUAUGAAAAGAAAUAUUGGUCUUUGUAAUUGUUAUGAAAUUAUAAAAAAAAAUAGGCACACAUAUUAAUAUAUGAGUAUAAAUAUAGGUCCCACGUAAAAAUUAUACAAAAGAAGACACACACAUAUUAAUAUAUGAGCAGAAAUAUAUGUUCUCUAUAUAAAUUAUUAGAAGAAAAAAACACAGGCAUUUUUAUUUAUAUAUAAGUAGAAAUGUAGGUCACCGUAAAAAUAAAAAAAAAAAUAAACAUUAAUAUAUGAGAAGAAAUAUUGGUCUUUGUAACCGUUAUGAAAAAAGUAGGCACACACAUUUAUUACUAUCGUAGCCUUUCUAGAAGUAACCUCCAACCAAAAACCGUAACUUUGGACGGGACGUGAUUCCUCUGUAGCUUUGGAUACCACUCAAUUAUUUUUAAAAUAAUCAUUCAAAAAAUAUAAAAAAAAAUUAAUUAAAAAAUAUAAAUUAAUUAAUAUAAUAAUAAUAAUAAUAAUAAUAAUAAUAAUAAUAAUAAUAAUAAUAAUAAUAAUAAUAAUAAUAAUAAUAAUAAUAAUAAUAAUAAAGAAGACAUAUCCCGUAUACUUGGUUUCCGACAUGUUUUAGGAAUAUGUAUAUAUCUUGGUCUACCGUCUAUAAUAGGAAGGAGUAAGAAAACAAUAUUCUCUUACAUCAAGGAUCAUAUUUGGAAGAAAAUGAAUUCUUGGAGGGGGAGAGCAUUGUUUAAGGCCGGUAAGGAUGUUAUAAUAAAAUCUGUGCUUCAAGCCAUCCCAUCAUAUGUUAUGAGUAUGUUUAUCCUUCAUUCCUCACUCAUUGACGAUAUUGAGAAAAUGUUGAAUGUCUUUUGGUGGGGAGGCGGAGGUAACAACAAUAAAGGGAUCCACUGGUUAGCUUGAGACAGACUUGCAUGCCCUAAGGCGAAGGGUGGUUUAGGCUUUCGUAAUUUUGAAGCGUUCAAUAUGACUAUGGUGGCAAAACAAGUAUGGAACAUCAUUCAAAAUCCAGACUCGUUGGCGGCUAAACUAGUUAAAGCAAGGUAUUUCCCGCGCUCAUCGUUACUCGAAGCAUCUUUGGAGUAUAAUCAUAGCUUUGCGUGGCGUAGUAUUUGGAAGGCUAGACAAUUCUUUNNNNNNNNNNNNNNNNNNNNNNNNNNNNNNNNNNNNNNNNNGAAAGGAUGAUCGCUAGGUGUCCUCACCUAAAGUGGAAGAUGUGUAUCAUUUAGUUGUUAAAGACUUGUUACUUGAGAAUUAUAAAGUGUGGGAUAUAGUUAAGAUUCGUAACUUGUUUACAGGCCGGGUAGUGGAAGAGAUUAUUGCAACCCUUCUUAUUAGUUCGGUUAAAGAGGAUAACGUGGUUUGUGAGGAGGAAAGGAAUGAAUGUUAUUCAGUUAAAUAUGGUUACAAUCUAGCCAUGAGAUGUAUUGUUCGAAGCUAUAGGCACCAUGUAGAGGGUAAUUGGAAUGAUAUUUGGAAAGCUUAAUAUCCUCACAAAACGCGUCACUUACUUUGGAGGUUGUGUAGCGGGUGUCUGCCGACGCGGGUUCGUUUGACACAACAUUAUGUAGAAUGUGAAUAAACUGUCCUGUGUGCAAUGUUGAGGUAGAAUAUGACAUUCAUGUGUUUUUUGGAUGCGUAGCAACCUGCGAAUGUUGGUCGGUCACAUGCCUGUUACAGUUGCUGCAUAAUGCAGCAUACCAGCAUGAGACAGUCGCAGACAUGGUGUUUCGAAUGUGCAGAAAUGAGGACAGUGCAACGAUAGGACGGGUUACAUCGUUAUUUUGGUGCAUUUGACAUAAUUGAAACGACAAGAUCUGGAAUGAAAAUAUUCAGUCCCCGAGCCAAGUUGGAAGCAUGUCGUUCGUCGUCUCAAAUGAGUGGUUUACCGUCCACCAACUGCAGCGUCAUAACGUUGUUCCUGUUGAGGAUCCUAGGCCGGUUCGGUGGGAGAAACCAGGAGUGAGAUGAAUAAAAUGUAAUGUUGAAGCUGCGUUUGUAGUUGGGUCCGCUGUUACUUCUAUGGGUCUUUGCUUUCGUGAUACCAAUGAGCAUUUUUUGGCUAGCUUGACUCAAUGACAACAACCUUUUUAUUCCAUAGUGGAAGGCGAAACAUGUGCACUAUUACAUACUAUGAAAAAGACUAUCCAUCGUGGAUUUUAGCGAGUUCAAUUUGAAAGUGAUUCAAAGUUGUUGGUUGACGCUAUCCAUUCGAGAAGACAAGACAAUUCAGAAUUUAGUUUAAUUAUUAACGACAAUAUUCUUCUUAUGUCAUCUUCUUAUGUGAACUUUGAGGUUAAGUUUGUUAGGAGACAAACGAAUUUGGUUGCUCAUACUCUUGCUAGGGUGGCCAAUGUUUGAGCUAAUUUUCAUAUAUUUGAAAUUAUUCUCUUUAUGUAUUGAACAUUUAUUAGUUAAUGAUAUCAAUUAAGUUUGUUUGGUUCAAAAAAAAUAAAAUAAAGAAUAAAGUAAUAAAACAAAUUUGUAAAAAAAUAAAAAUAAAGGUUAAAACUUCGUAUCAAAACAUGUCAUUUUCGAGUUGGGAUCCUCUCCGUUUUCUAUUGUUUCUAUUUCUUCCAUUACCAAAGUUUUUAAAUGUNNNNNNNNNNNNNNNNNNNNNNNNNNNNNNNNNNNNNNNNNNNNNNNNNNNNNNNNNNNNNNNNNNNNNNNNNNNNNNNNNNNNNNNNNNNNNNNNNNNNNNNNNNNNNNNNNNNNNNNNNNNNNNNNNNNNNNNNNNNNNNNNNNNNNNNNNNNNNNNNNNNNNNNNNNNNNNNNNNNNNNNNNNNNNNNNNNNNNNNNNNNNNNNNNNNNNNNNNNNNNNNNNNNNNNNNNNNNNNNNNNNNNNNNNNNNNNNNNNNNNNNNNNNNNNNNNNNNNNNNNNNNNNNNNNNNNNNNNNNNNNNNNNNNNNNNNNNNNNNNNNNNNNNNNNNNNNNNNNNNNNNNNNNNNNNNNNNNNNNNNNNNNNNNNNNNNNNNNNNNNNNNNNNNNNNNNNNNNNNNNNNNNNNNNNNNNNNNNNNNNNNNNNNNNNNNNNNNNNNNNNNNNNNNNNNNNNNNNNNNNNNNNNNNNNNNNNNNNNNNNNNNNNNNNNNNNNNNNNNNNNNNNNNNNNNNNNNNNNNNNNNNNNNNNNNNNNNNNNNNNNNNNNNNNNNNNNNNNNNNNNNNNNNNNNNNNNNNNNNNNNNNNNNNNNNNNNNNNNNNNNNNNNNNNNNNNNNNNNNNNNNNNNNNNNNNNNNNNNNNNNNNNNNNNNNNNNNNNNNNAGUUUAAUUGUUAACGACAUUAUUCUUCUUAUAUCAUCUUCUUAUGUGAACUUUGAGGUUAAGUUUGUUAGGAGACAAACGAAUUUGGUUGCUCAUACUCUUGCUAGGGCGACCAAUGUUUGGGCUAGUUUUCAUAGAUUUAAGAUUAUUCUCUUAUGUAUGUAUUGAACAUUUAUUAGUUAAUGAUAUGAAUUAAGUUUGUUUAGUUCAAAAAAAAAAUUAAGUAAAAAAAAAAUUUGUAAAAAAAAUAAAAAAAAAUAAAGGUUAAAACUUCGUAUCAAAACAUGUCAUUUUCGGGUUGAGAUCCUCUCUAUUUUCUAUUGUUUCCAUUUCUUCUAUUACCAAAAUUUUUAAAUAUUUUUAAAUGUAUAAAUAAUAUUUAGACUCACUUAAUAUUACAUUUUUACAUUUAUAUUCCCAAAAUUAUAUUAUAAUAGAGGAAAUAGAAAGAAUCGAAAACAAAGUUCGAUACUUUUCUAUGAACUAAUAACGUAUUUAAUCAAGUCGUAAAUAAAAAGAGUCGUUAGCCUUCUCCUUACUUCUUUAAGCUUUUUCAGUUGACUCACCCAUGUCUUCUUCUUCUUCUUCUUCCAUAAGCUCUUCUUCAAGAAGCCACAAAUCUGAUGUGUUUUUGAGUUACCAUGACAAAGACGCCUGUAUAUCUUUUGCAUCGGAUCUCUAUUCAGCUCUCACACAGGCUGGAUUUGUUGUUUACAUCAACCAUAACAAUCUUACAAGCGGAGAUCAGACAAAUUUCUCAGCAAUCGAAGCUUCUAGAACUUCUAUCAUCAUUUUCUCAAGUAAUUUUGACGCUUCAAAAUGGUUUCUGGAAGAACUGGAGCAGAUAUUGGAGUGUGGUAGAACCAUAGGGCAGGUGAUUCUGCCUGUGUUCUAUGUUGUAGAUCCCUCGGAUGUACGUCGUCAGAUUGGAGAUUUUGGAAAAGAUUUUGAAGAUCUUAUUGGACAAAGGAUCUUGACGAACAAUGAGUCAAUGCGUUAUAAGGAAGCGCUCAUUGAAGCUUCUAGCAUUUCUGGAUUUCUCGUGAUGAGUUCCAGGUAAUGAUUUUUUUUUUUUUCAUGUUAGUUUCUGUUUUACAUGAAAUUGAAGUGCAUAGGAGGGAUAGUUGUGAAUUUCUGGGAGAUGCGAACCUAUGAUGCUAAGAAAUUAAAAUAAUAAAGACUCAAUUUGGCCUCACAAUCUAUUUGUCGCAAACAUAGUAUCGAAAUUAGUAUAUGAGAGUAGAGAAUGUGACUUUUAUUAAAGGGUCAUGUUAACAUGUUAAUGUUAAAGUAUCUAAAAUUAGAAAUUUGCAUUUAAUAAUGCAAAAGGAUUUAAUGUUUGAAAAGUAUAAUGCACAAAUUUCAAGAUAAUAUUACUACAUUUGCAUCCUUAACAUGUUCCUUAAGGAUGUUAACAUUUUCCUUUAUUUAACUGUCAAGUAUUGAUGAUUUAUUUGAAAGUCGUGAAAGUAGUAGUGAUUAGAGGCAUAAUUUUUACUUCUUACCCUCUAAUCAUGACUAGAAUAAAAAGGCAUAAUUUUUUCUUCUCUAAAGAAAGGCAUAAUAAUAGACAUGUAAUUAGUUGUUAGUUGCUUAAUAGACUGUUAUUUCCUAAUUACUAGUUAAUUGCUUUUUACUCUCUAAUAAGAAAUGUAAUUAGUUGUUAGUUUGUUAAUAUCUUAAUAUAAUCACCAUUUUAUUUAUUCAACCAAAUACUAAAGUUACAUUUCUGUCAACUUUCUCUCCUCCUUCUGAGUCAUAUAAUAAAAAUACACGGACACAAUAGUAACCAUCUAUUUUAUUGUGUUCCUAAUUUUGCACUAAACACUGUAUGCUUGCAUGUGGAAGAAUAAUUUAUUACUUGUAUCGAUAUGUGACAUGAUACUUGUCAUUUCUAUGCAAAGAUUCUAUUUGGCUCACAUAGAAUAAAAGUAUAAUGAUCUAUGGUUGAUGGUGUUUGUACAUCACAUUGUUUUCUUUGUAAGAAACUAAUGGAGAACACUUCAUUGUCCAUAUUCAAUGCAUCCUUUUAAAGUAGUUGAGAUUUUGCACAUAGAUGCCAUUAAUAUUUGUUCACUAAAAUCAUAUGACGGAGGGUGUUUUUGUUGCGGCUUAUGCAUCUUAUCUUGGGCUCAUAUUUUAUAGGGACAAAAGUGAAGUUAUUAAUGACAUAGUGCAACAUUUGACUCAUUUGAUAGAAGACAAAUUAUUUUCCGUUGCUACACACCCAGUGGGAAUAGAACCUCGGAUGCAAGAUGUUAUUCAACUAUUGAGCAAUGAACAACCAGAAAAAACCAUAAUCAUAGGGAUAUGGGGGAUAAAUGGGGUUGGCAAAACAACAAUUGCAAAAGCCACUUAUAAUCAAAUGGGUUGCAGUUUUGAGGGCAAGAGCUUCCUCCUAAAUGUUAAUGAAAUUUGGGAGCAGAGUAAUGGCCAAGUUUCUUUACAGCAACAACUUCUUUCAGACAUCUACAAAACAACAAAUAUACAAAUAGAUAACAUUGAUACAGGAAAAAUGGUAUUACGUGAAAGGCUUUGCCGUAAGAAGAUAUUUCUUGUACUUGACAAUGUGAAUAAAUUGGAACAGUUGAAUGUUUUGUGUGGUAGUCGUGAAUGGUUUGGUCAUGGAAGUAGAAUAAUUAUCACAACAAGUGAUAAACAUAUACUGUGUAGCUUUCAAGUUGACCAUGUAUAUAGAAUGAAAUGUAUGGACACUACUGAAUCUCUCGAGCUUUUUAGUUGGCACACAUUCAAAAUUCCGAGUCCUAUAGAAAGUUACGCUGACCUUUGUAGAGAUGUUGUUGAGUACUGUGGGGGAUUGCCACAAGCUCUUGAAGAAAUUGGGUCUUUUUUGUUUGGUAAAUCUUUAGCGGAGUCAAAGUUUUUGCUGGAGAAACUCAAAACCAAUCCCAACGAUAUGAUAAUCAGAAAGCUAAGAACAAAUUUUGAUGAUUUACAUGUUUAUGACAAAAAAAUCUUCCUUGAUUUAGCUACCCUAUUUAUUGAGAUGGACAAAGAUGAUUUAAUUCAGACAUUAAAUUACUUUGUGCGUUUCCCGGAAGAUGGAAUAACAAUCCUCGAAGAUAAAUGCCUUGUAACUAUAGAUAGCAAUAACAGGAUUGGAAUGCAUACUUUGGUACGAGCAAUGGGAAAAGAAAUCAUAAGGCAACAGGGUAUGGCUGAGGUGAGUCAAAAGUUAGUAUCGAAGUUGAUAUCAGUUGCAUGAAAAGUUUAUAGCUAUGGUAUCUUUAGUAAUUUGGUUUUUAUUUCAGACAAAGAUGUACGAUGUAUUCUUGAGUUUCAAAGGGGAAGACAGUCGAGCAAAAUUCAUUUCACAUCUCUAUUCCUCUCUUCAAAAUGCUGGGAUUUAUGUUUUCAAAGACGAUGAUGGUAUUCAACGAGGAGAUCGGAUCUCAGUUUCAUUGUUGCAAGCAAUCAAUCAGUCUAGAAUUUCCAUUGUUGUUUUGUCUAGAAAUUUUGCUAAUUCAAAAUGGUGUAUGAUGGAGUUGGAGAGAAUUGUGGAAAUAAGUAGAACCAAGGAUAUGGUGGUUGUGCCUGUGUUCUAUGAGGUAGAUCCCUCAGAAGUACGUCAUCAGACAGGAGAGUUUGGAAAAGCUUUUGAAUGUCUUAUAUCAGCCAUAUCAGUGGAUGAAUACACAAAGAGGAACUGGAAAACAGCUCUCAAUGAAGUUGGUGGAAGAGCAGGGGUUGUCAUCAUAAAUUCAAGGUAAUUUGAUGACUAAUUAAUUUAUUUAUAUUUUAUAGUAUUGUUAGAUUAUGAUGCUUUGGCUUUUUUCCCUUUUAAUUAUUGCUGUAAAUAUAGUUCUCUGUGUAUAAUAUUUUUACCGAAUAGGUGUUCCUACUUCCUAAUCCAUUUGGUUUUUCUUAUAGUCUAAUUAUACAUCACAAGAUUAAAUUAUCAUAAAGUAAUAUUUUGAUACUGUGCAAUAUGGUAAAAAUAUAAUUUUAAUUGACUCCAUUAUUUGAUAUAUAGUACUAUCUCUCAUCCUUAAUACAAGAUAUUUUUGAAGAUUUGUUUGGUCCUAUUUAUAAGAAAAAGUUGCAACUGUUAAGAUGUAUUUAUUGUUUGAAAGACUUUUUCCCUCUAUUUUAAAAUAUUUGUGUUUUUAAUGUCUCACAAUAUUCCAUGAGGGUAUAUUUGGAAAAAUAUUCAAAAAGUUACAAUUAAUAAUUCCAUUGGUUUUUGAUGUUUUUUUGGUUUUUCUUCUUAUAAUAAGGACUAGAGAGAUCAUUGUCAAAAAAAAAAAGGACUAGAGAGAGUAUUAUAACUUAUAACUACCUGGUAGUUGUUCACAUGAUCGUUUGUAUUUUUUUUUUUUGACACAUGAAAGUUUGUAUUGGGACCCGUGCUUUCCUUUCUUCGAGUUUCUUUAUUUUUACUCUCUUUUGUCAGACAAUGUGUUAAAGUCCCAUUAGUAAACCCAUAUUUGAAAAUUUGAAGCGAACGGACAAUGUAGUACCUCAAUUUAAAUAUACUUAGUUCACAAUCUUAAUCAUUAAUUUUUUUAAUCAAUCAUCAGUUAUGGUUACACGUUAUUCUCUAAAUUGCACUCUCUCACUUUAGAGGAGUCUAAAUUUGUUUUGCGCUCAACUGCUCAGAAAAGUAUUUCACUUGCACCUGGUAAAACCAAUUACAUAGUUUCAUUCACUUUUAUCAUGAUAUAUUUCAAAACAUUUUGCGGUAACAAUUCAGAUUUCAUUGGAUUGCAUAUGCUAUUUAUCUUGACUGGGAUGAAAAAUCAUCAUUUGGCUGAAAAUGAUCACACAAGACAAAAAGAAAAAGUACAUGUUGUACAAUGCUUAUAUAACUGUUUGUUUAUGCACUUACUCGGGCACAUAUUCUAUAGGAAUGAAAGUGAGGAUAUCAAGAAAAUAGUUAAACUUGUUACUCAUUUGCUAGACAAGACAGAAUUAUUUGUUGCUGACCAUCCAGUAGGAGUAGAAUCACGUGUACAAGACGUUAUUCAAUUACUGAACAGCCAAAAAUCAAAAGUUCCUCUAAUGCUAGGGAUAUGGGGCAUGGGAGGGAUCGGAAAAACAACCAUUGCUAAAGCCGUUUAUAAUAAAAUUCGUCAUGAUUUUGAGGCAAAGAGUUUCCUAUUGAAUGUCAGGGAAGUUUGGAAUCUCGAUAAUGACAAAGUUUCUCUACAGCAACGACUUCUUACUGACAUCUACAAAACUACAAAGAUAAAGAUAGAUACAGUUGAAUCAGGAAAGAUUAUAUUACAGGAAAGACUUUGUGAGAAAAGGAUAUUUCUUGUAAUCGAUGAUGUGAGUAAUGUGGAUCAAUUGAAUGCUUUGUGUGGAAAUCGAAAAUGGUUUGCUGAGGGAAGUAGAAUAAUCAUCACAACAAGAGAUGAUGAUUUACUUAGUAGGCUUGAAGUUGACCAAAUAUACAGAAUGAAGGAAAUGGAUGACAGUGAAUCUCUCGAGCUUUUCAAUUGGCAUGCAUUCAAGCAACCAAUUUCUGGAGAAGGUUUUACUAACCUUUCUAGAGAUGUUGUUAAGUACUCUCGAGGACUGCCGCUAGCUCUUCAAGUCAUUGGGUCCUUUUUGUUGACUAGGAGAAGGGAAGCGGAGUGGAAGAGUGUACUGGGGAAACUCAAAAUGAUUCCCAAUGAUGAAGUGUCAGAGAAGCUCAGAAUAAGUUUUGAUGGUUUAAGUGAUGAUGAUGUGAAAGAUAUAUUCCUUGAUAUUGCUUUUUUCUUUAUUGGUAUGGAUCGGGAAGACGUAACUGAGAUAUUAAAAGACUGUGGGCAUUUUCCAGAAAUUGGAAUAAGCAUUCUGGUACAACAAAGCCUUGUAACUGUUGAUAGGAAAAACAAGAUUGGAAUGCACGAUUUGCUACGAGAUAUGGGAAGAGAGAUUGUCCGCAAGAAAUCUAAAGAGAGGGGCAAGGAGCCUAGUAGAAUAUGGCGUUUUGAGGAUGUGCAUGAGUUGUCAAAAGAUACUGUAAGAUCUCCAUGUAUAGUUUUAUUUUUUUUAUAUUGCUUGUGUUGUGUUUUGCCUUUGAGCACUGUAUGAGGUACCACAAAGACAGAAAUAUCUCAGCACCGAGUACAAAUUAUACGAGUGGUUUUAUAUUAUAUCUCUAACAUCUGAUCUUUAAUGUAGAAGGACGCAAAAUGAAAAUGGUUAUUGAUAAAUCUAAUGUUAGUUGUUACAAUUACAAUUAUUUCGUAGAAAAAAUAGGGUGAAUGCUGUUAUGACAUUUGUUUUAUUUUUCUUGUUAUUAAAAUUUGAUUCACUGUGAAUCAUUUUUUUGCUACUUCUUUCCUUGUUACGGAUCAUGGGCUUCAAACCUUACUAUUGUAUCUAGCUAUACUAAAAGAUUUUUAACUACCACUUACCUAUGCUGUGUGUUUUAUUUUUCUUACCAUUUUGUUUCAGUGUACUUUAGAUGUUAAGGGAUUGACUUUAACGAUGUCAAGAAUGGACUCAACAACUUUGGAAACCAAAGCAUUUGAGAAGAUGGACAAGCUUAGAUUGCUUCAACUUUCUGGCGUACAACUUGAUGGAGAUUACAAAUAUCUUUCAAGACAUCUUAGGUGGCUUAGUUGGCAUGGAUUCCCCUUCAAAUUUACACCCGCAGACUUUCAUCAAGAUAGUCUAGUUGCUAUCGAGUUGAAAUAUUCCAAUCUGGAACGAGUGUGGAGGAAGUCUCAGGUAUAAAUUCAAUUUUUUUAGUGACCUUGUUAACUAACAUAAUUUCAACACUAAUCUUCAAUUUGGAAACAAUAAACUUGAAUUUAGUGUCUCACAGUCCUUAUUUUGUAUUUUCCAUAUGGAAAUAAAUUUAAUUAAAAAGGGAGUACAAAACAUCCUCGUCUAACAUAUAUAUGUAUAUCGAUGUAUCCAGAAGAAGGGGAGGAAAAAACAAAGUUACUGAUAGCACUGCAUAAUAAUUGACUACAAUAGACACAAAAACCAGCCGGAAAAAGAAUAGGAAAAAUCUGUUGUAGUCUCUGAUAUAUACUUGGAUAUUAGAAAAAAUCUUAUUGGUUAAUGUUAAGAAGUCCCACAUCGGUUGCGAUAUGGCCUGACUAAGUGUUUAUAAACUAGAGGCAAUUCUCACUUUUUAAGCCGGUUUUGUAAGGAUGAGUUAGGCCCGAUACUAAAUUUUAAGAGUUAAGAAUAAUUGUAACAUUUGAAUCCAUGAAAAUAUCUACUGGUAAUUCACCACUCCAUUUUUUUUUUUAUAAAAGUAGAAAUCGAGUGCAGAGGCACACAUCCUUUUAGAGAUAGCAAUUCUAGAGUCUAGACUUUGACUACUCAAUCUCAAUUUUAAGAAAAUAUCUUAAUUGACCCAAUUAUUUUGUUUCAAAAUGGUGAAAUAGGUGUUUGAUAUUGCUGAAUUUCAAUAUGCUAACUUGCUGUUAUGACAAUAUCAUCUAACAUAAACCAUAAGACAGACACAAACUAGAUGAAUACUUAUAAAUUACCGAGUAAUCCAUAUUCCAAAUUUCAUUAAGAUAAAGUUGAAUAGCUUAAGUCAAACCUACAAUUAUUUUUUAUGCAUAGAAAUCAAUCCUAACACUUCCUGGGCAACAAAUCCAAGAGUUUUCUCCAUAUAUAUAUGUCUUCAUUUAAGUCCCCAUGCAAGAAAAUAUUUUUUUGUCUUAUUGAUGUAAAUGCCUCUGAUAUAUGGCAUCCAUUUAUAGAACUUAGAUGAAUACUUUUUUUUUUUUGACAAAACUUAGAUGAAUACUUAAAAAUUACCGAGUAAUACAUAUCAUUCCAAAUUUCAUCAAGAUAAAGUUGAAUAGCUUAAGUCAAACCUACAAUGAUUUUUAUGCAUAGAAAUCAAUCCUGACACUUACUGGGCAACAAAUCCAAGAGUUUUCUCCAUAUAUAUAUAUGUCUUCAUUUAAGACUCGAUGCAGGAAAACAUUUUUUUGUUUAAUUGAUGUAAAUGCCUCUGAUAUAUGGCAUCCAUUUAUAGAACUUAGAAGGACUCGGAGUGAAACCUUUUUUUUUUUGUAACAGGACUCGGAAUUUCUUCUCUGAUAUAUGCCUUCACAUUUUAUUUUCUUGCAGUUGUUGGUGAAGCUGAAAAUUCUUAAUCUUAGUCAUUCUCACAACUUGAGACAUACACCAGACUUUUCGAACUUGCCAAAUCUUGAAAAGUUAAUACUUAGAGUGUGUUUGUUUCAAGGUUUGUAAUGUUAUUCCUGGGAAUAUGAGAUCUGGAAUGUAACAUUGCUAUGUUUGUUUCAAGUUUUGAAAAUUUGUNNNNNNNNNNNNNNNNNNNNNNNNNNNNNNNNNNNNNNNNNNNNNNNNNNNNNNNNNNNNNNNNNNNNNNNNNNNNCACAUGAGUAUGAAUGUUAUUCCUGGAAAUAAUAUUCCUAGGAAUAUCAUUCCAAGGAAUGCAAUUUCAUACCUUGAAACAAACACACCCUUAAGGAUUGUCCAAGUUUGUCUUCAGUUUCUUCUAGUAUAGGACAUCUCAAAAAAAUCCUGUUAAUAAAUUUGAAAGAUUGUACAGGCCUUUGUGAACUUCCAAGGAGCAUCUAUAAGUUAGACUCGGUGAAAACUCUCAUUCUAUCUGGAUGUACAAACAUUGUCAAGUUGGAAGAGGAUAUAGAACAAAUGAAAUCUUUAACCACACUGGUUGCGGAUAACACUGCUAUAACAAGAGUUCCCUUUGCAGUAGUAAGAUUAAAAAGCAUCGCAUAUAUUUCCCUUUGUGGCUAUGAGGGAUUCACACGUGAAGUGUUUCCUUCUAUUAUCCAGUCUUGGUUGUCUCCAACAAAUAGUAUCCUAUCCUUAGUUCAAACAUUUGCAGGAACUUCAUGUCUUGAUAUCACUGAUGAACAGAAUAAUAGUUUCUACUGUCUAUCAUCCAUUUUUGAAGACCUUCAGAAUCUUCAACGUCUUUGGUUGAAAUGUGAUUCAGAAGCUCAAUUAAAUCAAACUGUAGCAAGUAUUUUGGGUAGCUCCAACACACGAAAUUGUGAGGGAUUCUCAAACAUCGGGACUUCAGCAUCAAUUCAUUCCCGUAGUCAAGUUAGUAUGUCAAGCUCUAAAAAUUCUUUGACAUCCGUUUUGAUUCAAAUGGGAGUGAGCUGCAAUGUCGCCAACAUUCUUAGAGAAAAUAUUUUGCAGGUUCUCUUUUUCUCCUUCCCUUACACAACCCUCUCUAUAUUUGUUUUAUAUAUCACACACUUACACACACACACACACUCAAAGUUCAAUGCACAUGUCAAAGUUGGCAUACAUUGAAUGAAUCAUGUAUAUAAAAUUUAAAUAAUUUGUAGGUAAGUACCUCGAUAGUAUAUAUUUCCUCCCAACCGCACUCCGGAUUAUCAGAGCCCAUUUCCCCCGUAAAAUGUAUGGCUAAGACCAAAGAGUCACAAUAAUUUUGAUAUUCUUUAUGUUGGAUUACAUAUUUAAUCACCUUUGUUUAGAUUAUUUUUAUUUUCCUCGCUCAAGUGUUUAUGGUCAAUCAAAUCCCUCUAUAAAUUACUUGACUCAAACCCUUUUUUAUCCAAAAGCAAGAAAUUCAAUGAAAAUUUGAUAGUGUGCAAGAUUUUGUAUAAGUAACAUUAGAGUUUAAAGAUUUUGUAAAGUGUAUUCUUGAUAAUUAUUUUUUUUUAGAGUCUUGACCUUGUUUCUUCACAUACGUGAAUUGUACAGAAAAUUCCUCCCAUUGGGUCUGGUUUACUCCCGGGGAACAACUAUCCCGAUUGGCUAACCUUCAAUAGCAACGGUUCUUCUGUAACUUUCGAAGUACCUCAAGUGGAAGGGCGUUCUUUGAAGACAAUCAUGUGCAUUGCCCAUUCUUCUUCCCCAGACAAUACAACGACAGAAGGUUUCAAAGUUGUGUUGGUAAUAAAUUGCACAAAGAACACCAUUCAGGUCUACAAAAUAGGCGCAUUAUUAGCAUCUUUUGGUGAGGAUGAGUGGAAGAGAGUAAUAUCAAAUAUAGAACCCGGCAACAAAAUUAAGGUGAUUGUUGUUUUUACAAAUGAAUUCAUUGUGAAGAAAACAACAAUUUAUCUUGUAUAUGAUGAACCAAGUGAGGAAAAGACGAAUCACUGCCAUGAGUUAGAUGAGAAUGGAAUUGUUUCUAGUGGUGAUGAAAAUGUAAGUAUAAUAGUCUAAAUGCAUACUCUUUUUUGUAGAUUUGCUCUUUUUUCAUAUUGUUAGCAUGCUAGAUUUAUGAAUUGAAUUGACAUGUGAAUCAGUUGUGUCGCACAUAUAUGAUUGCUCGUGAUUAAACAAUUUACAGACGUUGCUUUUUGUAUCAAUCCUCUUAAAAUAUUCACACUUGGAAUCUUUAUGAUCUUGUAAUUUAAUUUUAUGAUGUUACUUUAUACGGUUCACUUAUCACAACUUUCAUUAUGUUUAUGGGUUUAGAUAUUUGGCAGACUCUUCUUCGCUAUUCCUUCCCUUUCUCGGACUGUUCUGACUUCACGGCCUUUCUGGUUCUGUUUGGCUGGUAUUAUGGUUUGGUCGUCUCGCCGCCGUUCUGAAAAACGAAGAAGAGACAACCCUAUUCUAAGGUACAAAACUAUAUUUUUUGCUUCUGUAGAACACUUUUUAACAAACAUUACUUUUUGUUUUGUCAACUAUUUAAGCUUUCCCAUAAAGCUAUCAUUAGUAAAAGGCCAUCAUCCAUUUAAUUUGUCCUGGACAUUUUCUUUAGUUCCCUCUAAACAGUAACUUUGAAUUUAGAUCGCGAAUAAUAUAUUUCUCCUUGUGAAUCAAAAUUUCAUCAUAUUGUACAUGUCUCACACUAAAUAGGGAACAAUAUCGAUAUGAUUUAGUUGGAUCCACAUGAAUUUCAUCCAAUGGUAAAAUGUGUGUUGGUAGUAAAAUGAAGCCUUGUUUGAAUUAUGAUUUUGUGGCUAAUAUAUAUUAAUUUGCGAUACUUUCUGCCAUUGCACUGAUUUGUGCGAAAUAGGGAAGUAGCAUCCAUGAGCUCUCAAGGACUCAAUAUUCCAGAAUCUUUGGAGAAAAACCCUUUGGUUGAUGUCAACUAGUGAAGAGACAAGGUUAAAAGAGGUACUUGAUUCCGGUCAACAUGAAUUGGUUCCAAUAUAUAAUUUCAAAUUCCUGAAUCCAUAGGACGAGGAUGCAAAACCAGAGGAGAAAGCAGAAAUGACCGAAGUCAAGGAUCAACAAUAAAGGGAUGAGAAGUUAAAAGGGUAAUGUUCUCCCAAGCCAAAUCAAUCCUAGAUGCGUGUCUUUCUUUUAUCUUGAUUUCAUUUGUGUUGAAAGGCGAAAAGGUUGUUAUCUGUAGUUCAUUGUAUAUAUGGUUGUUGAAAAAUAUCACAUCAUUUGAAGAGUAUGGCAUAUUGGAUUCUUCAUUAGUUCAUCUCAAGAUGUAACACCUUUCCAUGCCACCAGCAUGUAAUUGUAAGGCAAAGAGAAACCUCAAAUCUCAAAUCAUUUAGUGAAUGAAUAAUGCAUACCAAAAUUCUGUAUCAAUCUGAAUCUCAAGCAAAGGGGAACUUCAAGAAUUUGAGAUUAAACUUUGUUCCUAAACCAUCAAACAAUGUUCAGAAAUUAGACCAUAUAUAAGUUUCAAUCAUAUAUUAUUUUUUGUUUCCUUAACUAGUGCUCUCAGAGCUUGUAUUUUCCAUAUAUACAAGUCUUUGAAUCUCUAUAUAGAGCUUGUAUAGGAUUAAUGUUACUUGUAAUGUAAUUCAUUGCAAAGCCUUGUACAUAUAUUUUUAUCUUCAUCUUGAUCUUGAAUAUAAUCGUAUGCUUCCACUUAGUCAAGCAGUUUUUNNNNNNNNNNNNNNNNNNNNNNNNNNNNNNNNNNNNNNNNNNNNNNAGCAGUAGAAGUUUUAUUUAACACAAGUUGCAAAGGAGAAACUAAACAUGUAACUUGAAUAUGUUUAAAAGGUCACAGGGCUACCACUAAAAUUGAAAGUUAUUCUAAUCUUUGUGUCUACUUCUAUUUCACCAUUUACAAACAAUGGAUUAAUAAAAUCAUCAUCCAAAAGGUAAUAUGAUAAGGUGAAACAAAAUUAAUUAGGACUCCAUCUUCACUAUCUACAAACUAUAGUAUAAUAUUGAUAUAUGGAAUAGUUCACAUGGUAUAAAAGAAAAACAGAGAAACCUCCUUUAUAUUAUGAAUUCUUUACCUCCUUUAUAUUAUGAAUUCUUUCAUUUUUAAUAUACAAAAUUGCACUUAUUUGAAAAACAACAUCACAACUUCACUAGGACUUUUAUUUGAUGAAUUAGGUACUUCCCAAAGACUUCUACCAAUUACCACUAUGUCAGACUUACAAAGCAAUCAAAUAUGCAGAAUCAAAAGCAUAUACUCUACUUCUAUCCAUAAUGUUUUCACAAUCCAGUCAAACAAAUUACACACCAGCAUUGAACUUUAUCUUCUUUACAAUAUUCCAAAAUGAAUCCUUCCCACAUCCAUCAUCAUCAUCAUCAUCAUCAUCAUCAUCAUCAUGUAUAGUCGGUCACCUUAAUCGUACCUUGUGUGCAUGAUAAAAAUUGUACAAUUUCAUUCAGGAAAAGAACAAGAAAAAUAAAAAGAAUCAGGAUGCAGUGAUGUUAAAGGGAUCAAGAUCAUACCUGAAUGCAAUUCAAGACGAAUCCCCUUCGGUGGAACUAUUGUAGACAAAGAUGCAAACCUUAUGAACAAAACUGUAGACAUUCUACAAACAUAACUUUUAUGAACAAAUUUACAAAACUUCUACCACUAUUCCACUACAAUUUCUUCUUCUUUAUUCUCAUAAUAUUCUGGUCAAUUAUCCUGUAUACUUUUUUACAAGACACAACAAAAAAUUGCUUGACAAGACCCCAACCCCACACUAAUAUCAUAUGAGUAUAACAAAAUGACAGUAUGAUUAGAACAAGAAGACCCGAGUACAAAAACCAGAAUUGUGUCCUGAGCAUAGGUAAAGAUUCGUCCUCUGUCCUAAUUGUCCCAUAAGGUGUGAUCUUAACCUUGAAUGGUGAUCCGACCAUUGCCAAUCUCAUAAAACGAUUUCUCAUAAGUGUGAAGAUGAGUGCUUCUGUUUCAUAAAAUCCAGAAAAUAAUGGCCCAUCAAUUUGAACAAUAGAUGCCUUCAAUUUCCCAUAAUGUUUAUUCAAGCUCAUAGCAUCUUGCUCUAUCCUCCUCAUUAACUCUUCAAAUUCAGGCUCAUGGUAUCCUUCCUCCAAGGAUUCUUCAAUGCUAGAGCUCGAAGCUUCCUCCUCAAAUUCAGGAUGGCAUUUCAAUACAAGGAUAGUGGCUGAGGUUUCAGUGGUUGUGCCAACUCGAAAUGGAAAAUCAUUAAACCUACUCAACACUGAUUCGAAAACUGGAUCUCCCAAUUUUAUGUCUAUGUUUCCCCAGUAGCGAUGGCUUGUUCCCAGCAUAAUACUAGUGUACACUAAAACAAUAGGCAUUCUGAUGUUCAAGGUGUUUUCCAAUUCUACAUAUGCUGUCAAUAAGUUUUCCACAAAUCUGUCUUCCAAUUGAUAACAUUCAUGUUCAGCAAUAUGUUUUGGUACAUUCUCUUUUACCAUCUCUAAUACCUGAACCACAUCUGCUACAGAAUCUUCAUGGUCUUGCUUUAAACUUGCCCCACACAGAGAGGAGGAAGCCUCAUCUGUAAUUUCAGCCUUGGUAUUUCUCAAACAGCGGCGAAUCACUUUGAAAAAAAUGUCUUCAACGUCUGAUUGUCGCCCAAUGGAAUCUGCAUUCAAAAUGUCUGUAAAUUUGAAACUGUUCAAAAUAUGUUUCAUGUACAGCUCAUAAGAUCUAUGUUGAACUGAAUAUGAUGAUAGCAUAUGGGAAAACGAGUUGAUCAGAUUGGGAGGUAUGAAUUGUAUAUUAUCCAUGCUUGUUUCUUGCUUGUACACAUAAACUCCCCAAUUAGUCAGAAUCAAUUCUUGCUUCAUGUUUGGAACGCAUUGAACCUGAAUUGUCUUCCAGUCAUCUCCAAGACUUGCAUCAAGGUUCUGCCACUCUUCAUCACUAAACAAAACUCGUAGAUCACACAAUAUCACAUGAUCUUCCCCAAUAUUGAAAUAAUGGAAAUCCCUGCUACAAAUUUCUUUGCCAUCAAUAAACAAAUGGAGGCUAACAAUGUAAAAUUUCUUGAUUCCAGUUGACAAUCUUAUUUCAUCACUAAAUGAAGGAAAAUUGUCUGUCGUAUUUUUUACUUCCUGGAAAACUAAUGCUAAAGCAACAAUGGGAAACUUCCUGCGAGCCCAAAAAAUCGGAAUUCCUUGAGAGUAACUACAGUCAAACCAUUCUGGAAUCUCCCUUUUCAGCAUUGGCAUGACAACUUGAAUUCUUUGGAUCUCUAGUGGAACCUGUAAUGCAUAAACAAAAGACAUUAGUGUGUUUGCGUCAAAAUACUACUUACAGAUCGACAAAAUCUUGUAUUAUGUAAAUAAUGGAGAAAGAAGUAAACCUUUGACCAGAGCAAACUUGAUGCCUCUGAUGUUAAGGAUGGACAAUGUCUUGCAUCUAUUUUCUGAAUACUUAAUGGAAGUUCUGGAAUUUCUGUGAGAUUAUUGCAAAAGCUCACAUCAAGACUUUUCAAGUGCAAAGAACCUCUGAUGCACUUUGGAAGGGCUAUUAACUCACUGUGUGAUACUUUCAAGUCUGUUAGUUUUGGAAAACAUUCAAUAAUGGCAUCAACAUCGUCAUAUGAUAGAUUUGCCUCGCUAAAAUGAAGUGUUUCUAAAUUUGGAUAACCAUUUGCCCUUGAAUGGUGAUCUUUGAACCUUUGAAAUGAUGCCCCAAGUUGCGAGCAUCCAACACAUUUCAAAGAGAGCAGUUUUGGAAGCAGUAAGAAGCUACUCGAUAGAUCUUUGAUCUUUUUGCAAUGUGACAUGUCUAUAUAUUGAAGCCCUGUAAGGUUACCAAUAGACUUUGGAAACUCCUUAACGGCAGUAUUUAUCAUGUGAAUCUUUAACGGCUUAUCCAUCUUUUGCAUUACAUGUGGGAAGUAUUCCAACUUUUCGCAGAAAUUAA